rnacentral:rRNA from 1 species
CCUACGGGAGGCAGCAGUGAGGAAUAUUGGUCAAUGGCCGGAAGGCUGAACCAGCCAUGCCGCGUGAAGGUCAGUGCCCUAUGGGCGUUAAACUUCUUUUGUGCGGGAGCAAUAAUGGUCACGUGUGGCCAGACGAGAGUACCGUACGAAUAAGCAUCGGCUAACUCCGUGUCAGCAGCCGCGGUAAUACGGGGGAUGCAAGCGUUAUCCGGAUUUAUUGGGUUUAAAGGGUGCGUAGGCUGUGAGGUAAGUCAGCGGUGAAACUCCCCCGCUCAACGGGGUGAAGUGCCAUUGAUACUGCCUUGCUUGAAUGCGGAUGCAGGGGGAGGAAUGUGUGGUGUAGCGGUGAAAUGCAUAGAUAUCACACAGAACACCGAUUGCGAAGGCAUCUCACGAAUCCGCGAUUGACGCUGAUGCACGAAAGCGUGGGUAUCAAACAGGAUUAGAUACCCCUGUAGUC